rnacentral:tRNA from 1 species
GAAGACAUAGCUCAGUGGUAGAGCACAUGCUUAGCAUGCAUGAGGUCAUGGGUUUGAUCCCCAGCGCCUCCA